rnacentral:rRNA from 1 species
GCAUAUCAAUAAGCGGAGGAAAAAGAAACCAACAGGGAUUGCCUUAGUAACGGCGAGUGAAGCGGCAAUAGCUCAAAUUUGAAAUCUGGCGCUUGCGUCCGAGUUGUAAUUUGUAGAGGAUGAUUUUGGUUAGGUACCUUUCGAGUUCCUUGGAACAGGACGCCUUAGAGGGUGAGAGCCCCGUACGAUUGGAUGCCGAGCCUCUGUAAAUCUCCUUCGACGAGUCGAGUAGUUUGGGAAUGCUGCUCUAAAUGGGAGGUAAAUUUCUUCUAAAGCUAAAUACCGGCCAGAGACCGAUAGCGCACAAGUAGAGUGAUCGAAAGAUGAAAAGCACUUUGAAAAGAGGGUUAAAUAGCACGUGAAAUUGUUGAAAGGGAAGGAUUUAUGACCAGACUUUUUCUAGGAGGAUCAUCCGGUGUUCUCACCGGUGCACUUCUUCUAGUUUAGGCCAGCAUCGACUUUCGGCGGCGGAUAAAAGCUUCAGGAAUGUGGCUCCUCUCGGGGAGUGUUAUAGCCUGUUGUAUAAUACGCUGCUGGGGGUCGAGGUACGCGCUUCUGCAAGGAUGCUGGCGUAAUGGUUAUCAAUCACCCGUCUUGAAACACGGACCAAGGAGUCGAACAUUUAUGCGAGUGUUUGGGUGUUAAACCCUCACGCGUAAUGAAAGUGAACGGAGGUGAGAGCCCUUACGGGUGCAUCAUCGACCGAUCCUGAAGUUUUCGGAUGGAUUUGAGUAAGAGCAUAACUGUUCGGACCCGAAAGAUGGUGAACUAUGCGUGGAUAGGGUGAAGCCAGAGGAAACUCUGGUGGAGGCUCGCAGCGGUUCUGACGUGCAAAUCGAUCGUCAAAUCUGCGCAUGGGGGGCGAAAGACUAAUCGAACCAUCUAGUAGCUGGUUACCGCCGAAG